rnacentral:rRNA from 1 species
AGCGAACGCUGGCGGCAGGCUUAACACAUGCAAGUCGAGCGGGCACUUCGGUGUCAGCGGCAGACGGGUGAGUAACACGUGGGAACGUACCCUUUGGUUCGGAAUAACGCUGGGAAACUAGCGCUAAUACCGGAUACGCCCUUUUGGGGAAAGGCUUGCUGCCGAAGGAUCGGCCCGCGUCUGAUUAGCUAGUUGGUGGGGUAAUGGCCUACCAAGGGGACGAUCAGUAGCUGGUCUGAGAGGAUGAUCAGCCACACUGGGACUGAGAAACGGCCCAGACUCCUACGGGAGGCAGCAGUGGGGAAUAUUGGACAAUGGGCGCAAGCCUGAUCCAGCCAGGCCGCGUGAGUGAUGAAGGCCUUAGGGUUGUAAAGCUCUUUUGUCCGGGACGAUAAUGACGGUACCGGAAGAAUAAGCCCCGGCUAACUUCGUG